UUCGCAAUGCCCGAAAGGGUGACGAAGCGACGCCGCGUGGGUGAGGAAGGCCUUCGGGUUGUAGAGCCCUGUCAGGAGUUAAGAAAUGUAAGUGUGCUAAUAUCGCAUUUACUUGACGAAGGCUCCAAAGGAAGUCACGGCUAACUCUGUGCCAGCAGCCGCGGUAAUACAGAGGUGGCAAGCGUUGUUCGGAAUUAUUGGGCGUAAAGAGCACGUAGGUGGGUUUGUAAGUCAGAUGUGAAAGCCUUCUGUUCAACGGAAGAAUUGCAUCUGAAAUUGCAAAUCUUGAGUAUAGGAGGGAGAAUGGAACUUCUGGUGGAGCGGUGAAAUGCGUAGAUAUCAGAAGGAACGCCGGCGGCGAAAGCGAUUCUCUGGCCUAUUACUGACACUCAGUGUGCGAAAGCUAGGGGAGCAAACGGGAUUAGAUACCCCGGUAGUCCUAGCCGUAAGCGAUGGGCACUAAGUAGAGGGGUUUU
rnacentral:rRNA from 1 species